UAGUUGUCAUUUAAACAACACAUCAAGAUAUGACCUGAUACUUAUUGUCCUGCCUAAAUGAAUUAUAAAAUAUAACUGGACAUUGGCUAGCUUUUUUAUUUGUUAUAUGUGGAUAAAUUUCCGUUUUCAUGGUUUGUGUGGUUUGCCUGCAUGUAGCUGAGAAUUCAGUUGAAGACACGUCUACUAUUUGCAGACCAUAAAAAAGGAUAAUCAGCCAUGAGCAUGACAAUGGCGAAAAUCUUUUAUCUGUGUUUGGGUUUGUCUGUUCGUUGUUUGACCAGCCAAAGUUUGAAUGUGACACUAGUUAAUCCUGGGGAGAACAUAAGCAUCGACUGUGACAAUCAUACGGCACAAAUUCAUUGGUACCUGCAGCGCUCAGGACGACCGCCGGCGCCGAUACUGCGCUCAUUCGGCGGUGCUUUAGCUGGUGCGUUUUACUAUGAUACUGGAUUGCAGAGCAAAUGUUCAUUACAAGCCGGCAACAGACUGUUUAUACAUAAUUUUACAACAGAAGAUUGUGCAACAUAUUACUGUGGGGAGCUUGUCGAUGGUGUCUUCAAAUUCUUUAACGGAACUACAGUUAAUAUUAACUUCACGGAUAUUACAGAAAUCAUAACCCGACUGAAUAUUACAGGUGCUCUUUUUAUGUUUUAUAUUUUUAAGUGCAAUACAUUCUUGGCGAUAUGCCGAAGAAAAUGAAUUUACAUUAUUCUUCAUAAAUAUCUUAGGACUCGACUAUAUUUUGUUACAGCGUUUAUGAUGUUUUCUGUGGGUAAGCCUACAACAACCUUACGAAAGCAUGCAUUUCAAAACAAACCCAAAUUCUGCGUUCUAUAAUUAAAACAGCGAUACCACUAUGCUGUCAGCCAACUCACAUUUGCAAGAUCAAUAUUUAUAAUAAUGGAGAGAACACGUUUACAACUUCCUCGGCUAAUUUAAAAAUACUGAAGUUGUUAUAUUUUACAGACGUGGUCACUGGACGUCAAAAUCGGACUUCUGAUACCCAAGAGGAGCAGCGAUGCGGAAUUUUUCAGAAUACACUCCUUAUCGCUGCCAUUGUUUUAAAUUUCAUUUUGAUCGUUAUAAUUCUGGUUUUGAUAAAGAAACUCUGCACUGCUCCUGGCUGCAAACUUGCACAGAAAUCGGAAGCACCUCAGGAAGAUAUAACGUACAGUGUAGUUCAACUUCCGAAAAGGCUGAAUGCAUCAAGCCGUGAAAUAACGACAUACAGCGAACUUAGACUUCCAACCUCGUGAGUUGACCUCAGCUGCUCAAUAAAGCCCUCAUUGUAGAAUUUCUAUAUGGACAUUGUUAUUCCGUUGUACAGAUUAUAACUGAUAUAUGUACAUUUGAUAAAUAAAGUUUAUAACAAGUUAA